AGCAGCCGCGGUAAUUCCAGCUCCAAUAGCGUAUAUUAAAGUUGUUGCAGUUAAAAAGCUCGUAGUUGAAUUUCGGGACCAAUCUGCCGGUCGUGCCUCCGGUACGCACUGGUUUUAUUGGUUUCUCCCUUCUGACGAACCAUGAUGUCAUUAAUUUGGUGUCAUGGGGAAUCAGGACUGUUACUUUGAAAAAAUUAGAGUGUUUAUAGCAGGCUCACGCUUGAAUACAUUAGCAUGGAAUAAUGAAAUAGGACGUUUGACCCUAUUUUGUUGGUUUCUAGGAUCGACGUAAUGAUUAAUAGGGAUAGUUGGGGGCAUUAGUAUUCAAUUGUCAGAGGUGAAAUUCUUGGAUUUAUUGAAGACUAACUACUGCGAAAGCAUUUGCCAAGGAUGUUGUCAUUAAUCAAGAACGAAAGUUAGGGGAUCGAAGACGAUCAGAUACCGUCGUAGUCUUAACCAUAAACUAUGCCGACUAGGGAUCGGAUGAUGUUAAUUUUUUUAAUGAACUCAUUCGGCGCCU
rnacentral:rRNA from 1 species